rnacentral:rRNA from 1 species
UACGUAGGUGGCAAGCGUUGUCCGGAAUUAUUGGGCGUAAAGCGCGCGCAGGCGGUUCUUCAAGUCAGAGGUGAAAGCCCAGAGCUCAACUCUGGAAUGGCCUUUGAGACUAGAGAACUUGGGUACGGGAGAGGUGAGUGGAAUUCCGAGUGUAGAGGUGAAAUUCGUAGAUAUUCGGAAGAACACCAGUGGCGAAGGCGGCUCACUGGCCCGUUACCGACGCUCAGGCGCGACAGCGUGGGGAGCAAACAGG